GCUUAUUACUAAUUUAAGUUUUGAAUUCCAAAAAAAAAUCUUUGGGUUACUAUGAAAAAAAUAUUCUGACCCUCAUGUUCUGAAAAAAUAUUCGGACUUUCAAAGAAAGGGGAAAAAAAGAUCUUUUUCUCCAAGUAAAAAAAAUCCUGGGAGGCCCCUCACACUAUCCCCCUCCUCCCCCGCCCUUGAAACAAGUGUACAAGUGAAAUUGCAUUUACAAAUUGGAUAGACAGGAUUUUCUUCAUAGGAGUUAGUGCAUUUAAGCUGGAUAUUCAGUUACUUCAGGCCAGUUAAGUAAGAUGUUGUACAACUACAGGACUCUCAAUCUCACUCAAGUUGAUGGGUCAGUUGCACGAAUGGUAACUGUAAUUCACACUGGUCACGGGAAAAAGUGCCGCUGUGUGGGAAUCAAUUGUAGUUUCUCUGGAAAAGAUGUUACAGCCAGUGUAUGAAGACUGAACUUUUGAUAGGUCACAGGUGCUCUCGCAAAGACUGAUGGCCUGGCAGCAUGAUCUUUUCUAUGGUUAUAGGGGUAAUGUCUUUAAACAGAAGCAUGCUGUUGUGGAGUGAAAGUGCACAAACCAUUGAUAACCCUUUGGAGAAUCAGUACCAGAUAUCUUUUCAAAUGUUUGCCAUUCUGAAGUUUUUUUUGACUGAGCAGUGUCAAACAGUCUUCGGAUCCUAGAGAAUCAGUUCCUCCAAAUGAACAAAUCACCACAGUCAUAAAAAUUAUGGGCAGAGAUAUUUCAUGGAAGAGAGAUAACAUGACAAUACAAAAAUAGGUGUUGCAGUGGAUUCGGAGGUGAAGUCAUGAGGAGUUGUUGUGAUGGCAGAAGAAUGAGUGAUCAUUUAGCAUUUUGCACUAGAUGUACGAGUGGUCCAGUUAAACAGAGAUUACAAACAAUUAAAACUAUAAUGUGAUAUUACAUCUACUUGUGAUUGAUGAAAGUAAUUCAAAGUAUCAUUUGGACAGAUCUGAUGAGUUAACAAAUAUUUGAAAGUAUACGAGGAACAUUUUACACAUAUUCAAUAUUAGUAUGUUGUAUAGUAAAUAUAAUAAACAAUUAAAGUUGAAAAACUGGACUGGUUUUCACUUGAUAUACAAAGAGGUAGAUUAGCAUGUUUAGAUUUGCCACUGAACAUGUGUUUCCAUUUCAUCAAUACUUCCUGUGGUUAAAGUAUUCUGAUCAAAUCUAUUUAUUUCCGGUUGAGCUAAUGUUUCUGCAACUUCAAAAAAGAAGAUUUGUUGUGUAACAAUGAAAUUAAUGAGUAGAUAUUAAUAUAUAAAAAAUGUAGGCUAAAGCACUACAUAUAAGAUACCCAAAUAGCAUCAACUAUGAUUAUUUCUUGGACUUGCUUCCUGAUCAACACCCCUUGUCUCCAAAUUAUAAUAACACUUUGAUACCAAUUUGAAUGAUUUUCUUUAACUCAUCGUAAUCGAAGUAACAGGUGAUUUUCAG
rnacentral:misc_RNA from 1 species